rnacentral:rRNA from 1 species
AGCACGGGUGCUUGCACCUGGUGGCGAGUGGCGAACGGGUGAGUAAUGCGUCGGAACGUACCGAGUAAUGGGGGAUAACGCAGCGAAAGUUGUGCUAAUACCGCAUACGCCCUGAGGGGGAAAGUGGGGGACCGCAAGGCCUCACGUUAUUCGAGCGGCCGACGUCUGAUUAGCUAGUUGGUGGGGUAAAGGCCUACCAAGGCGACGAUCAGUAGCGGGUCUGAGAGGAUGAUCCGCCACACUGGGACUGAGACACGGCCCAGACUCCUACGGGAGGCAGCAGUGGGGAAUUUUGGACAAUGGGGGCAACCCUGAUCCAGCCAUUCCGCGUGAGUGAAGAAGGCCUUCGGGUUGUAAAGCUCUUUCAGCUGGAACGAAACGGUACGCGCUAACAUCGUGUGCUAAUGACGGUACCGGCAGAAGAAGCACCGGCUAACUACGUGCCAGCAGCCGCGGUAAUACGUAGGGUGCGAGCGUUAAUCGGAAUUACUGGGCGUAAAGCGUGCGCAGGCGGAUUGUUAAGCAAGACGUGAAAUCCCCGGGCUUAACCUGGGAAUGGCGUUUUGAACUGGCAGUCUAGAGUGCGUCAGAGGGGGGUGGAAUUCCACGUGUAGCAGUGAAAUGCGUAGAGAUGUGGAGGAACACCGAUGGUGAAGGCAGCCCCCUG